AACGCACAUUGCGCCCAUUAGUAUUCUAGUGGGCAUGCCUGUUCGAGCGUCAUUUCAACCCUUAAGCCUAGCUUAGUGUUGGGAGACUGCCUAAUACGCAGCUCCUCAAAACCAGUGGCAGAGUUUUUACGUACUCUGAGCGCAGUAAUUCUAUUCUCGCUUCUGAAAACGUCUAGACGAUAGCCAAAAACCGCAUGCUUCGGCAGCACUUUUUAAUGGUUGACCUCGGAUCAGGUAGGAAUACCCGCUGAACUUAA
rnacentral:misc_RNA from 1 species